rnacentral:tRNA from 1 species
GCCGUGGUGGCGAAAUUGGUACCCGCGCUGCGUUCAGGUCGCAGUUCCCGCAAGGGAUUGAGAGUUCGAGUCUCUCCCACGGCA